GUUCAAUUGGAGAUAAUCAUUAUUAUUUGUUAUUCAUAAUGGCGACUAAAUUUGUGCUUUUUAUCCUUUCUGUUGGCCUCAUCGUUGCUUUGGGUCAAGCUGCUGAUUGUGCCUACGGUGAUGCCUAUGAGUGUGACAGUGAACACGGCUGCUCCUACGGAUGCUGGAUGGGGUCGUGCUGGAGGAAUUGUAACGAUGGAAAGUGCGCGAACAACUUACUCGCACCGUUCUGCGGUGCAGAUUGUGAAGAAUGGUGCUACCUGGACGGUGAACAGUGCUAUUACGACACCGAUUGUGCUGCUGUCAGCCAGAAUGCCUGUGCAGGGCGAGUGUUCUACCUAAUCACUGAGAUAACGACUCAUCACGGACUUAAAAAUAAAGUUGUAGAUUGAGGAUUUGUGCUUAUCACAUCGUACAAUUUUAUAGUUAAAUUUAUUUUCCGAAAAGUUUGAUUUCAGCAUCGCUUUUCAGUGCUUGUUUUAAGGGUCAAAUGACUGGUUUUGGGGAUUUUAAUUACUUUAUUAGGCAUUAUGGACAAAAUUUACGAUCGCAUAUUCAU